rnacentral:rRNA from 1 species
AUGCACGCUGGCGGCGUGCCUAAUACCUGCAAGUCGCGCGAACAGACGAGGAGCUUGCUCCUCUGACGUUAGCGGCGGACGGGUGAGUAACACGUGGAUAACCUACCUAUAAGACUGGGAUAACUUCGGGAAACCGGAGCUAAUACCGGAUAAUAUAUUGAACCGCAUGGUUCAAUAGUGAAAGACGGUUUUGCUGUCACGUAUAGAUGGAUCCGCGCCGCAUUAGCUAGUUGGUAAGGUAACGGCUUACCAAGGCAACGAUGCGUAGCCGACCUGAGAGGGUGAUCGGCCACACUGGAACUGAGACACGGUCCAGACUCCUACGGGAGGCAGCAGUAGGGAAUCUUCCGCAAUGGGCGAAAGCCUGACGGAGCAACGCCGCGUGAGUGAUGAAGGUCUUCGGAUCGUAAAACUCUGUUAUUAGGGAAGAACAAAUGUGUAAGUAACUAUGCACGUCUUGACGGUACCUAAUCAGAAAGCCACGGCUAACUACGUG